UUGCCCUCCAUUGGAUACAGAGGAAGGAGGUCAGAGACCAGAGGCAGAAAGAGGCUGAAGCUGUAAGACAGUGUCAGGACCUGAACCAAGGUAAAGGAAUCUUGUGUCUUCUGCCAGCAUCCAUGAGGCGGUCUUGUAGCUUUGAAGUCAGAACUAUUUUCAAAACAGCAACCAGGACUUCCAUGGUGAUCCAGUGGUUAAGAAUCCACCUGCCAAUGCAUUAGACAUGGGUUUGACCCCUGUUCAGAAAGAUUCCACAUGCCACAGAGCAGCUAAGCCCGUGCACCAGAGCUACAGAAGCCUGCACGCCUAGAGCCUGUACUUCACAAGAGAAGCCGCCGCAAUGAGAGCCUGCACACCUCCACUGGAGAGUAGCUCCACUUCUCUGUAACCAGAGAAUGCCUAAACACAGCAGUGAUGACCCAGAACAGCCAAAAAUUUUAAAAAACAAGUUUUAAAGCAACAGCCGUAAUUACCCUUAAAAUGUUUGUCAAGAGCUUCCCUGGUGGCUCAGUGAUAAAGAAUCUGCCUGCCAAUGCAAGAAACAUGGGUUCGAUCCCUGGUCUGGGAAGAUCCCACAUACCAAGGAGCAGCUAAGCCCGUGAGCCACAAUUAUUGAGCUUGUGAUCUAGAGCCUGGGAACCACAACUACUGGGGCCCGUGUACUCUGGAGCUUGUGUUUCACAACAAGAGAAGCCAACACUUGCCCCAGCUAGAGAAAAGCCUGAGCAGCAACGAA